rnacentral:rRNA from 1 species
AGUGAACGCUGGCGGUAGGCCUAGCACAUGCAAGUCGAACGGCAGCACAGUAGGAGCUUGCUCUUACGGGUGGCGAGUGGCGGACGUGUGAGGAAUACGUCGUAAUCUACUUUUUCGUGGGGGAUAACGUAGGGAAACUUACGCUAAUACCGCAUACGACCUACGGUUGAAAUCAGGAAAUCUUCGGACCUUGCGCGAUUGAAUGGGCCGAUGUCGGAUUAGCUAGUUGGCGGGGUAAAGGCCCACCCAGGCGACGAUCCGUAGAUGGUCUGAGAGGAUGAUCAGCCACACUGGAACUGAGACACGGUCCAGACUACUACGGGAGGCAGCAGUGGCGAACAUUGGACAAUGGGCGCAAGCAUGAUCCAGCCAUAGCGCGUGGGUGAAGAAGGCCUUGGGGUUGUAAAGCCCUUUUGUUGGGAAAGAAAAGCAGCAGGUUAAUACCCAGCUGUUCUGACGGUACCCAAAGAAUAAGCACCGGCUAACUUCGUG